GUUCAAGGGGUGUUAUCACACUACCUUUUCGAGGUAGAGAAGGACUACUUGUCCCUUGAAUG
rnacentral:tRNA from 1 species